AUACGGAGGAUCCGAGCGUUAUCCGGAUUUAUUGGGUUUAAAGGGUGCGCAGGCGGGAGAUUAAGUCGGCGGUGAAAUUUUGCAGCUCAACUGUAAAAGUGCCUUCGAAACUGGUUUCCUUGAGUGUAGAUGAAGUAGGCGGAAUUUGUGGUGUAGCGGGGAAAUGCAUAGAUAUCACGAGGAACUCCGAUUGCGCAGGCAGCGUACUAAACUACUGCUGACGCUCAGGCACGAAGGCGUGGGGAUCAAACAGGAUUAGAUACCCUGGUAGUCCACGCAGUAAACGAUGAUUACUAGCUGUUUGCGAUACAAUGUAAGCGGCUGAGCGAAAGCGUUAAGUAAUCCACCUGGGGAGUACGUUCGCAAGAAUGAAACUUAAACGAAUUGACGGGG
rnacentral:rRNA from 1 species